AUUGAACGCUGGCGGCAUGCUUUACACAUGCAAGUCGAACGGCAGCACAGGGAGCUUGCUCCUGGGUGGCGAGUGGCGAACGGGUGAGUAAUGUAUCGGAACGUGCCUGGUAGUGGGGGAUAACUACUCGAAAGAGUGGCUAAUACCGCAUGAGAUCUUUGGAUGAAAGCGGGGGACCUUCGGGCCUCGUGCUACUGGGGCGGCCGAUAUCAGAUUAGGUUGUUGGUGGGGUAAAGGCCUACCAAGCCUGCGAUCUGUAGCUGGUCUGAGAGGACGACCAGCCACACUGGGACUGAGACACGGCCCAGACUCCUACGGGAGGCAGCAGUGGGGAAUUUUGGACAAUGGGCGCAAGCCUGAUCCAGCAAUGCCGCGUGCAGGACGAAGGCCUUCGGGUUGUAAACUGCUUUUGUACAGAACGAAAAGUCUCUGGCUAAUAUCUAGAGAUCAUGACGGUACUGUAAGAAUAAGCACCGGCUAACUACGUG
rnacentral:rRNA from 1 species